CCUACGGGAGGCAGCAGUGGGGAAUUUUGGACAAUGGGCGCAAGCCUGAUCCAGCUAUUCCGCGUGUGGGAAGACGGCCUUCGGGUUGUAAACCACUUUUGUAGAGAACGAAAAGUCUAUUGAUAAUACCGAUAGAUGAUGACGGUACUCUAAGAAUAAGCACCGGCUAACUACGUGCCAGCAGCCGCGGUAAUACGGAGGGUGCGGGCGUUAAUUGGAAUUACUGGGGGUAAAGGGUGUGCAGGCGGUUUUGCAAGAUGGAUGUGAAAGCCGCGGGCUUAACCUGGGAAAGCCAUACAUGACUGCAAGACUAGAGUGCGUCAGAGGGGGGUGGAAUUCCAAGUGUAGCAGUGAAAUGCGUAGAUAUUUGGAAGAACACCGAUGGCGAAGGCAGCCCCCUGGGACGCAACUGACGCUCAUACACGAAAGCGUGGGGAGCAAACAGGAUUAGAUACCCUUGUAGUC
rnacentral:rRNA from 1 species